CGAAGGUUUCUUUGUGUGGAAACUGUGCGUAAUGCCGUUUGCUUGUCCUCCGAAUUCAACCUUAACAACAGUUUCCACUGAUGUGAAACCAAUCUAUUGCCCUUAAUAAACAUUGAAUAAUAAUAAACAUGGUUGUGUAACUCAUUACGGUUAGAAAAUAAUCCUACAUGAAACCAUUGUAAAAAUAGCCUUUCGUGCAUAGAAUUAAGUUGUAGUUUCCUUGACGUAAAGUAUGAACUUAUAGUUUCCUAAUUAUUGUACAUAAUUGUAUAAUAAUGGAUUGCUAGAAUACGGAGAGAAAAUCUACCUCCUCUCCAAUACUGUUACGUUUGCAGCGAGCACUUUGCUCCCGAUUGUUUUGAAUCGGACCUAAGACAGAAACUUACACCAUGGCAACCUUUAAAAAGGCGACUGAAGCGGGAUGCAGUACCAUCGAUUUUUUCAUUUGGCCCUCAACCCAGUAAAAAGCGUCUGUCUAGCGAGCAUCGUACAGAAAAACGUCAGACUGAUCAAGACAAGGAGGAACUUUCAAAUAUUUUAGAAUAAUGUUCCUCCACAAGUACAAAUGUUUUCUCAUUGUUUGAGCCUGAAGCAAAUAACAGUUGUGAUUUGGGUGCGUCUGACAGUCCUGAAGCAUUGCCAACUAAUUAUUGCAAGCCAGAAACCAAAGAUGCAUCAACACAGUGUUCAUUUGUUGUGAGGAGUUUACAUGCCAUGGAAGUCCAAACUACACUGUCGAUGCUGAAUACUGUGGAUGCAGAGGUUGAAAAACAAACACCCUCAUAUUGAUCACCAAUAUGAUGUGUGGCAUUUGUCUAAAUCUGUCACAAAAAAACUAACAAAGAAGGCUAACAUUAAGGGAAAUGAUGACUUGACCCAUUGGAUUAAGUCCAUUUCUAAUCAUCUUUGGUGCUGCUCUGCAAGUUGUAACAAGAAUGCAGAAGAAUUGGUGGAAAAAUGGAAGUCUGUCCUUAACCACAUUUCCAACAAGCAUUUCUGGAAGGGGAACACAUAUUUUCAUCAAUGUUGCCACCAACAAUUA